GCCCUUGUAGAUCAGUGGUAGAUCAUCCACGAAUUAUAAGAAUUCACCGUGACUUCUUUGUGGGAGGCGAGGGUUCGAAUCCCUCCGAGGGCA